UUCCGGCCAUGUGUGACCUUGGGCUGCGCAACCUUGGGCGACUGACCCCAGUUGUCCUCAUCUGGAAGUGGGAACAUCGCGACACCUACCCCUCCAGGGCCGUCUGAGGAGCGCGUAAAGCCAGGCACGUUGGGGACACGCGUGACAGAGACUCCCAUGAAGGGGAAGCAGUGUCCUGAUGUGAUGGGUCAGCGCAGUUUUUACAAAUGGAGAUGAGACCCUCUUCCUGGGUGCCUCCUGGUUUUCCCCAGUGACCCCCCUCCCGUGCCCAAGUUUUGACCGGCAGACCCAGGAGGUUGGUGGGAGAGGGGUGUCAGUGUCAGUCCCAGCACAGACUCAACCUUGCCUGUUACAGGAGACGGUGGGGGAGGGGAGGGGAGACCAGCAGCCCAGCACCUCCACCCCAGGCCCUGGCCCUCUGGCUCAGGCAAGCAGGAGAGACCAGUGGAAGGUGGAGGGUUUAUCUCACACACCCCUCCAGGGAGGGGCCUUUAUGCCCAGAUCCAGUUUCUGGCAGGACUGGUUGGUCCAGGUGGCCCGAUAGAUGGCCAAGAUAAGGUCCGUGCAGUUUGGCUGGGCUGAGCGGAAGACCCACGCUGGGCUAAGAUGGGGGAUGGCCCAGGACCGGCCUGACUCAAGGGUGGCAGGGGGUCUGGGCCUGUCUUGUCCCAGCUGCUGGCGCUUUUGGGGGCCACACGGAUGCCCUCUCUGGACCCCCUUCCCUGCCUGCAGUGAGAAGUGGCACAGAAAGAGGUGAUCCUGGGCAGGGGUGGUACAGGCCCAAGGUUGCCCAGGCUGGACGUGCUGCAGGUAAGGUUUGUACGGGCACAUGACGAGGUUCCAGAGCCACGAGCCAGGCAGACUGAGGUUGCCCGGACGUGAGGUUGUCGGGACCCCACGUUUCAGGUGAGCCCAGGCUUGGUUGUGUGUCAGACCUUCUGGAAGCCCCAGGGCUGGCUGGGCGAGCUCGUCCUCAUGGGCCGAUGGCGUCCUGCUGUCUGUAAAGUCACCACGCCCCAAAGAGUCCCUUCAUUAGACCCUUCCACCUGAGAGGUUUGAGUGUCACCUCUCUCCUGCCGGGACCCUGACCAAUAAACCUCUGGGGUCUCACAGCCCUAGGGAGCAGUUGUGGUCACCACACUUCCUAGGGAGGAGCCCCGUGGGGACGGCCAUGGAAGGAGCCCUUAGUCCCCGCAGACAGGACUUCCCUCAUCUCAGCACAGACCUUGGGAAAGGCAGCCCUCGGAUCUGCGUGGAAAAUGGGGUUUGCGUGCAGGAAGUAUUUGAAGGAAGUGGUCCCAGGGAACAAGGGCGGGGUGGGGGGCAUGAAGCCGGGCAAGGGGAAAAGCCAGCCAGAGGAGGUGCUGUGGACCCACCGUCAGUGGGGUGCAGACUCCACCGAGGCCAUCUGAGAAACCUCGAGGGACGUGCUGAGAACCGUCCACCCCAGGGACAAAAGGGGACAUAGCCAUAGGCUCCCCUUCCACCGCAUGGACAAGGUGAGGCUUAUCCACCAGCCUUCGAACUUUAGGGUUCAUGUACACAAGUGCCCAGCAGGCCCUGCGGGCAUCCUCGCGCUGGGUCAGAGCAGCUCUGGGCAAGAGCGAGCUGGGCCACCAGCCGGCAUCUGCACAGGUGGGCCGGUCACCACAGAGCCGUGGCUGGCCUGAGCUCGGCCGGGAGGACUUGAGGUGGGCCGCCGAGGUGCCCAGGACAGUUAAAAAUAGCGUGUAUUCAGGGGAAAUGUGAGGUUCAGUAAGGCCACAGAGCAGGAGAUGACUGCCGUUGGAAAGGUCAUUUCUAAGCACAGUCCCAGAGGGGGGGCGCCACGCCACGCCACGCCGAGCCACGCGGGAAAGCACGGGGAGGUUAGGAAGUGGGGGGAGCCUAGAACCGGGGACAGGAGACUUUGCUGCGGUCUCUGCAGGAGGGAUGGGCGAGGCAGGGCGAGCAGGCUGACCACUGGCUGGUUUGAGUAAUUUCAUGGGCCCUGGGACAGACGGGCUGCCGCAACUUGCCUGGUACCUGACCCCGGGUGACUCAGGCAGGGGGACGGUGGCCCAAGGGGGAGAACCCGAUAGAGGAGGUGUUGGGGCUGUGCCUUCUAGAUUGGUUGCUUUGCAUUUGAAAGUCACCCUCUUGGACCGGUGGGUGGGUUACACUCUGCGGGAAUCGGCCAGUCCUGGGAGGGGCAGUCCCUCCAGGGUCAGAGCAUCAAACCCAAGACACGGUUCCUGCAGUCCACCCCUCACCCACCUCAGCUCCGCUCGUGGCCUCGGUGGCCCAGGGUGGCCCAGGGUCCGGUUCAGGGUGGGAGCCGGCCCGGAGCCCCGACAGGCCUUAACUAGCCCCUCCUGCUGCACCUGGUCCCGAAGCUGAACCCUUUCUGGGUUCGCCUCAUCUUCGGCCAGCACUUGGGUGGCUCUAGGUUCGCCUGGUGGGGCGACCGGGGCGUCUCCGGGGCUCUGAGACCUUAGUCACCUUGCCCCUGUCAACAACUGCCCCGUGGUCACUGUCACCAGUUCGAGGGACAAGAAGCAGCCCCAGAGAAUUUCGAGUCCCGGAGACCCUCGUCCCUGGCCCUCCUCUCACACAGGUCCGAGCUGCCCCCCCACCGGCGUGGUGGGACUGCAGGUUCACGGGAGAGCUGCUGCGUCCCUGGCCCCUCCCGAACAAGGACCUCAGACCUGGCCAAGCCUCCGGUGUGGGGCAGGGCCAGGAGUUCUGCAAGAGGGUGACGUCGGGACGGACGGGCCUCCUUCCUCCGCCCGCGGGCUGUGCUCCGGUGACGGGGCCAGCACCGCGUCCACGGGACUGGACCCCAGCCCUCAGGAUGUCCCAGGACGGCGCCAGGGCUAGGCUGUUCCUCUUUAGAUCAGCUGCUUCUGAGUGACGUGAACUCGAGUGCGGCCAGUGGGCCUGUGGCUCUGUUCCCGUUGUCACCUCCUUGUGGUCAAACGGUCCCUGGUCUGAGGCAGCAUCGUGCAGGACACGAGGGUCCAGCUACCGUGGUCUUUGCACAGUCUACACCGACGUCACCCUCCUGCUUCACACCCUUCUGUGUCACCACUGCUCUUGAGAUCAAGGUGGGAACAAUCUCUGCUCGUCACCACCGUCGUGCCUGUCGCCCACAGGGCACACAAAUCCUUCCUGCGUGAGUGAACGAAGUAUGGCGAGUCUCUGGGGAUGACAGUGGCAACAGGGUGACGGUGGACGUGGUGGUGGUGACAGUUGAGGGUGAUGCUGUUGGCGAGGAUGGACCACCUUCCUCCGCACGUGCUGGGCCAGUGGACACCUGAGCGGUCCCACUCGAGGGUGGAGCACCGUCGGGGCUGACCCGUUCCCACGGCGGCAAGCUGAAGAGUCCACCCCACGAUCGGAGCUGCCGGGGUUCCUGGCCUUCCCACAGGUGUCGGGAUUUCCUUUUCCUUUGAUCCGGCUGUACCCGUUCAGUAGUGCCCCUCCCGGGUUCAACUCGCUUUAGCUGGGAUGGACUUCUGUCCCUGGGGACCCGAGAACCCUAACCAGUACAGACGGGGCGACAGGGGUGAGCUGAGAUGGAGCCCACGCCGCCCCGCUCUCCGUGCCAGUUCCACCUCCUCUCUGGCUUCUGAACGUCUGUGGAACGUCCUCCAUCUCUGCUGACACCUGGCUGAGCUCGUCCGUUCCAGGCCUUUACGUGCCAUCGCAUGUGCUGAGUGAUCUUGAUUCCUCACCGCUGGUCCUGACCUUUCUCCUGAGCCGCAGCUCACGGCUGACUGUCAUGCGUGUCACACUCAGCAGGCCCCAGCUGACUUCUUGAUUUCCUCUGCACAGUUGUCCCGUCUCAGAGAGCGGACAGACGUCUCGGAGAUGACCCGGGCCUGUCCACAGCUCCUUCCCACUCCCUUCAGCAGAGGCCGCUGCCUCAGGGCCUGCGCGCUUGCUAACUUCCCUGCAGGGAACACUCGCCCCAGACCUUCCUCACCUUCCGGGAGAGGGGGCUUGUGAAGGCUGAGCCCAGGGCAGGGCAGAGGGCGCGGAGGGGAAGAGAGGGAGGAGUUCUGGGUGAUUCCCCGCACCCUGGGUGGGCAACCGGGUGGCCAGAGGGACCACCCCUGAGAAGGGGCCCGGGAUGGGGGUCAGACCUGGGGAGGAAGAUGCCAAGUCCGCGUCUGGCACGAGGAGUGGGCAGCAUCCAUGGGCCGUCCAGGAUGCCGCCCAGCAGAUCCCUGAGCUGCAGCCCAGGGCAGAAGUAAGAUGGAGAGGCAGUGCCGGGCUAUAGUCCUCGGUCUGGGCAGCACCCACCCUCCUGAACCAGCCGGGCCUGCUGGGAGGAGAUCCAGCAGCAAAAUUCGUGGCUGUACUAACGCGAACAGAGACGGUGCCACUGACCGGGCUCACGGAGAAACGCAGACGCACUCAGGGUGGAUGCUUCCGCAAGCCAGCCUCUCCCAGCCGGCCACUGGCAGCCAAUUGAUAAGCCUAAUUAAUAAUUAACUUUUUAAUUAAAUACCAAUUUAAAACAAGUAUGGGAACCAGUCUCUGGCAAUUAACACCCUUGCUCUGCUUUCCUAAAGGGACUCAGUCCAAGGCCCAGGCUCUGGGAACUCUUGGGUGGGGAGGGCAACCCGGGACCCAGCAGAGUGGGGAAGGGGCCCGGCCCAGCCUGCUCCACCCCGCCCCAGAGCCGCAGGGAUAGCUUUCUCCACCCAGCGGUCACCGCCCGCGCCCUGCCCUCAAGGAGCUGGUGUCUCGAACGCGGGGCAGAAGAUGCUCAGGAACGUGCGAGUGGCGAGAAGCUGCUUCCCGGGGUCCCAAAGGAAGGAGAAACAGGGCCACAGGAAGACGGCUCCACUGGCCGUGACGGUGAAGAGUUGGAAGGACACUCUGGCGUGGGAGCUGCGCGGCCAGAGGUGUGGUGGUGGGGAUGCCCGUGCAGUACUCAUGGCUGCUGGGCUCCAGGCACCUGGCAGGGGACAGCGUGUUCUAACCAACCCCACGUGCUGGGAGCUAGAACCUGGUCUCGCCAGGCUCGUCCACUGGUGCUGAGGAAAGAUGGCCACACACGCGGUUCUCCACGGCAGCGGUGCUCUGGUUGACUGUGGCAGCCGAGGGGAGAGUGACGAGCACCGCUGGGGCGGCUCCAGGGCUCCCAGGCGCGUCUUCCCCUCCCGGAUCCCAGGCUUCGGGAGCAGCUCUCGUGGCGGAGAGGCUGCCUGUAAGAGCUGGUAGAUGUGUGGGAUGCCUCUUAGAACUUCUGUUGGGACGUAACGAACGUCGCUCUGCCUUACAUCACGUGGUCAAGGCCAGUGUCGGUGGAAUGGGGAUGGCACUCCUUCAGGAAGGUUCUGCACAUCCCGGACAACACCCAGAGAGGCACAGUCCUCUUGGAAGAGAGAAUGGGCAGCUACGGUGCGCUGCGGGGCCCCUGGUUCUCUAACCGCAUUACCUUCAGGAUGGAUGGGUGACAGCGAUGGAUGGGCCGCUGGAGCUGGAUGGCCAGUGACCGAGUCUUUUCUCUGACUGGCUUUGAAGCAGGAAGCCGCCGUGACAGCCGAUCAGUGUUUCCCUGGUCCAGCCUCUGAUGAGAACCCAGCCCUGGUCUCCAUCUUGCUUGGCAACCGUGUGGGACCGUAAGCUACACCGCGCCUAGGCUCCUGACCACAGACCGUGAGACAGAAACCUGUGUGCUUCUAAGCUGCUGAGUUUGUUGGGAUUUCUUUUUUCUUUUAUAUAUAUAUAUUUUUAUUUAUUUAUGUAUUUAUUCAUUUUUGGCUGCAUUGUGUCUUCACUGCUAUGCGGGUUUUCUCUAGUUGCGGCGAGCGGUGGCUACUCUUUGUUGCGUGCGUGGGUUUCUCAUUGUGGUGGCUUCUCUUGCUACAGAGCAUGGGCUCUAGGCGCAUGCGCUUCAGUAGUUGUGGCACGUGGGCUCAGUAUUUGUGGCAUGCAGGCUCAGUAGUUGUGGCGCACAGGCUUGGUUGCUCUGCGGCAUGUGGGAUCUUCCCAGGGCUCGGACCCAUGUCCCCUGCAUUGGCAGGCGGAUUCUUAACCACUGCGCCACCAGAAGUCCCUGUGGGGAUUUCUUACACAGAAUAGAAAAUCAGUACGGGGUCAGGGAGGGGGGCUGUUGUAUUGUUAGUUAUAUAUUUGGCUAUCUGAAAUAUUUCAUAAUUUAAAUUAAAAGGUUAUGAAAGAUCCCAAUGGCUGAAGAGACAGAUCGCAGAGCACGAGCUGGAGGCCGGGGGGGUCAUGAGGAGGCCAGCGUGCUGCUGUGUGGGUGAGGGUGGAGCUGGGCAGUGUAAGGGGGCUCAGGGAAUGUGUAGAAACGUCCCCUGCAUCCCUAAAUUCUGAGGAAGGGGAGGGGCCGUCCCAGCGUCCCCGCCACGCCUGGGAAACCUGGAUCACAGCCCUCCCCCCAGGUCAGCACAGCCCAAUCUGGGGGGAGGAGCAGGGAGAAGGAAUAAGGACGGCAUUUUCCCAGGGUCCCCUAGGGAGCCCUGCAGUGUGGGCUGGGGGGACAGAUGGAGUGGUAGGAGGAGGCCGCUGGGCUGGGUCCACCACGUCCGUCUCCUGGGAGAAGACCCCCGCCCCCACUCCAGCCUGCAUGCCAGGGGGAGCCAUCCCAGGGAGUGGGAGCCCCAGCCCUGCCUGUACUCAGUGUCCACAGCUAUACAGGAGGAUGAUCUGAGGGUACCCUGCCCACUUGGGGGCCGGAUGGGAGGAAAUGCUGAAAGCACCUGCUGAACAGCCAGGGCCGUCCCUUCGGCCCUCCCAUCCCUGGCAGCCUUAGGUGCUGUGGGGAAGGAAGAACAAAGAGGUCCCCAAACACCCUGGGCUUCUAGGAGUAGAGACGGGCAUCAGGGCUCAGUCUGAAGCCCACUGACUGAAAUGGCAUUAGAAGGCAACCUCCUUGUUGGGUGAGCUCUCCAAGGACUGAGGAACCUUUGCCUUCCCCAUAUUAUCCUUGUAACAACCUUGCAAAGUGUGGUCUUGUUUUACUGGUGAGGAGUCAGGAUUCAGCGAGGCUAAGCCACUUGCUCAAGGCUGCACAGCAAGAGAGAGGCAGCUCUGUAUGCCCCACAGUCAGGCCUUGUCCUUCGGUGACAUUGGUUAGGAACUAGGGAGCUCUGAGGGGCUGAGGGGAGGGAGACUUCAUAUAAGGCUUCCUCUCAUAUCUUUGGCUGGGGUUUUGAAGGAUGAAGAGAAGUUCUCCCGGCAAAUCUGAAGGGGAGAACAUCCCAGGGAGAGAGACCAACCAGGAACAAGGCAGAGAAAAGAAAAAAGGUUUUGUGAAUGAUUAUUUCCUACAUUACAAAAGUGGCACAUAACACCUUAAAAUAUUAGCCCAAGUUUAUAAAGUGAAAAGUACCCUCUCACCACCCCGGUCUCUCAUACUUCCCGGAAGUAACCACUGUUAUUCAUUAGGCAUAUGUCUUCCUGGGUUUUUUUCUAUAUGUACACAAACAUUUUUUUUUUUUUUUGUGGUACGCGGGCCUCUCACUGUUGUGGCCUUUUCGUUGCGGAGCGCAGGCUCCAGACGCGCAGGCUCAGCGGCCAUGGCUCACGGGCCCAGCCGUUCCGCGGCAUGUGGGAUCUUCCCGGACCAGGGCACGAACCCGUGUCCCCCGCAUCGGCAGGCGGACUCUCAACCACUGCGCCACCAGGGAAGCCCCAUACACAAACAUUUUUAAAACAAAAAAUCAUACAUUAUAUAUUGUUCUGCAGUUUGCUUUUUAUCCCCCCAAAGAACCCUGCAGUUUAGCUUUUAUUUCUAGUGUGUCUGUGAAGUGCACCUGAGGAGAGCUUGGAAUUUCGAUCAGCAUUCCCACAUAUGGCACAUGCCAGCAGCUGUUUCUACUAUGGCAGGCCUUUUCCAUUUUUCUGAGAGGAGAGGUGAAAAGUGGUACCUCCUUGCGAAACGUGCAUGUACUUGAUUCUUUCUGAGGUUGAGCUCCUGUCCAAAUGUUUAUCAAGUGUUUAUUUACAUGUCUAUUAGGAAGGACCUGUCUGUAUCCUUUGCCUGGUUUUCUCUUUUUCUUGACUGUGUGUGUGUGUGUGGGGGGGUCUUUUUAUUAUGUACUGCAUUUUUGUAUUUUGAGUUUUUGCAUGUUUGCAUAAUUGCAAAAUUAUCUCCCAUUUUGCAAGGAUUAUCUUUAAAUAUUACUUUUUAUCAUUAAUGCUAUUAAACCUCGUUACAGAAAACUUGGAAAAUGGGGAGGAAAAGGAGAAAUCAUCUAUCACAGAGCUGUCACCAUUUGUUAGCAUUUGGUGACAGUUCUUUUCCCACAUGCUGCAAUGACUCUUGUCAUCGUGUUAGACACUUGUAGCCCGUGACUCGGCUCUAAGAGCGUAACCUUCAGGAGGCAUUUUAAAGGCUUUCUCGUGGAUGUCCUAUAGUUCCCUCACCUGUCUCCCUUUUUUAUUGUGGUAAAAUACACAUAACGUAAAUUUUACUAUUUUAACCAUUUUAAAGUGCACAGUUCAGUGGCCUUAAGUACAUUCACACUGUUGUGUAGCCAUCACCUCCAGAACCUUUUCAUCUUCCCAAACUGAAACUCUGUCCCCAUCAAACACUAGCUCCCCCUCCCCCUCUCCCUGUCUCUAUGAAUCUGACUGCUCUUGGGACCUCAAAUAAGUGGGAUCACACAGUAUUUGUCUUUUUGUCAGAGUCGUUUCACUGAGCAUAAUGUCCUCAAGGUUCAUCCAUGUUGUAGCAGGUGUCAGAAUUUCCUUUCUUUUUAAAGCUGAAUAAUAUUCCAUCGUAUGGAUGGACCACAUCUUCUUUAUCUGUUCAUCUGUUGAUGGACACUUGGGUCGCUUCCACCUUUUGGCUACUGUGAACAGUGCUGCUGUGAACAGAGGUGCAAAUACCUGCUCAAGUCCCUGCUUUAGGUCUUCUGUGAAUGUACUCUCAUCAUGCCCUUUUUCUGAGUAUUUAGGUUGUAUCCAGUCUCUCCGUUUUGUAAAUAAUGAUGUCCUGAACAUCUCUAUGUCAGAGUUUCUUGUUAAAGGUAUCUGGAAGAUUACUCAGCAUUCAAGUCUUGGAAUUGGAAUCGUGAUCUCAGAGUUCAUUUCAAACACGUGAUCCCAGCCAUUAUCCCACCACUCCCUCCCUGCUCCAGAAGCUUUGGCAUCUUGUGUGUUCAACAAUUUUUCCUUUUUUCUCUUUGGUUCCUAGAAAGGACAAACUUAACCUUGAGGUUUGCAGUGUUCCUUUGCCAUUUUAUCUGUUGGGGAACCAACCUGGGUGAUCCAGCUGUUUUUCCAGAUAAAGUUUGGAAUCAUUUCGUCAUUUUGCCUAGAAGCAAAACAAACCCAGUGGCCUUGUGAUGUGCCGGCCGUGCUGUCAGCACAGGACAGCGCUGUGGUGUCGUCUUCCCUUCAUCCCAGAUGUUUGGGAAGCACCUACCGCCAACCCAUGAAUGACCACGGGGACGGGAGAGGGACGGGACGGUCGCCACCCUGCUCUUCGGAACCUGAGCACCUUGCGCGAUGCCUGGCCGGGGCUCCUCCAGUAACGCUGGCCCGCAGAAGGAAAGAACCCCGGCCUGAGAAUCUGCGCGGGACCGCCCGUGAUUGUCUCUGCCCUCUGCGCCCGGCCUGGGUUCAGCGCUUUCAGAGAGGGAGCCAGUGGAGAGGGUGCAGGCCGAGGUCCCCGAAGACCUGCCCCCGGAGCCGGGCACGGGGAACGGUCAAGUGGCCCUUGGCGCCGAGGAAGCCCCGCGAACUUGGGGCAGCUCAGACCGCCCAAGUCUCCCAGUCCUCGUGAGAAACAAGAGCAAAUAAAUUACUUUUGCCUCUACUCCCUCCUCCUUCCACGACGCGGUUUCCUGCGUGUGUCCCUUGCCCCCAGUCUUCGUAAAGUUGUCCUUUCUGCUCGCCAAACAGUUAUCCGUGUUGGAGGCCCCACCUGGGAGGCCGAGGCAGCCCCCCCCCAGCCCAGGGAGCAUCUUCACAGUGACGGCCGACGGGCCCACAGGUGAGGCAGCGUGGGGCUCCAGCUGGGCUGGCAGGGCAGCGUCAGUCUCCG